ACGAACGCUGGCGGCGUGCUUAACACAUGCAAGUCGAACGGUGAUCCCAGGAGCUUGCUUCUGGGUGAGCAGUGGCGAACGGGUGAGUAACACGUGAGUAACCUGCCCCUGACUCUGGAAUAAGCGCUGGAAACGGCGUCUAAUACCGGAUAUGAGACGCAACCGCAUGGUUAGCGUCUGGAAAGUUUUUCGGUCUGGGAUGGACUCGCGGCCUAUCAGCUUGUUGGUGAGGUAAUGGCUCACCAAGGCGAUGACGGGUAGCCGGCCUGAGAGGGCGAUCGGCCACACUGGGACUGAGACACGGCCCAGACUCCUACGGGAGGCAGCAGUGGGGAAUAUUGCACAAUGGGCGAAAGCCUGAUGCAGCGACGCCGCGUGAGGGAUGACGGCCUUCGGGUUGUAAACCUCUUUCAGCAGGGAAGAAGCGAAAGUGACGGUACCUGCAGAAGAAGCACCGGCUAACUACGU
rnacentral:rRNA from 1 species